rnacentral:rRNA from 1 species
AUGUCUUAUGGAGGCCGGCUGAUUCUUAUUAACUCGGUGCUCACGAGUUUACCUAUGUUUCUCUUAUCCUUCUUUGAGGUCCCGGUUGGGGUUAGGAAAAGGCUGGACUUCUAUCGAUCUCGAUUCUUUUGGCAGAGUGAUGAGCUUAAGAGGAAGUACAGACUUGCCAAAUGGGAUAUUAUCUGUCGACCAAAGGACCAGGGGGGCCUUGGUACUGAAAAUCUUGAAGUCAAGAACAGAUGCUUGCUCAGUAAGUGGCUGUUUAAAUUGUCUUCUGAGAUGGAGGCAACGUGGGCGCAGAUUUUACGUAGUAAAUAUCUGCAGUCCAAGACCCUAUCCCAGGUCACUCUGAGACCAACAGAUUCGCCGUUCUGGAAGGGGCUCAUGAGAAUCAAAGCUGCCUUCUUUAACAUAACGAGGUGUAUUAUCGGUAAUGGUAACAACACGCAAUUCUGGGAGGAUAUGUGGCUUGGCGACACGCCGUUGGCGACCCAGUAUCCGUCCCUAUAUCGUAUUGUUCAGCAUCGUGAGGCUCUUGUUGCCAUGGUUAUGCAUCCGUUC